rnacentral:rRNA from 1 species
ACACAUGCAAGUCGAACGGACUCUUCGGAGUUAGUGGCGGACGGGUGAGUAACACGUGGGAACGUGCCUUUAGGUUCGGAAUAGCUCCUGGAAACGGGUGGUAAUGCCGAAUGUGCCCUUCGGGGGAAAGAUUUAUCGCCUUUAGAGCGGCCCGCGUCUGAUUAGCUAGUUGGUGAGGUAAUGGCUCACCAAGGCGACGAUCAGUAGCUGGUCUGAGAGGAUGACCAGCCACAUUGGGACUGAGACACGGCCCAAACUCCUACGGGAGGCAGCAGUGGGGAAUCUUGCGCAAUGGGCGAAAGCCUGACGCAGCCAUGCCGCGUGAAUGAUGAAGGUCUUAGGAUUGUAAAAUUCUUUCACCGGGGACGAUAAUGACGGUACCCGGAGAAGAAGCCCCGGCUAACUUCGUGCCAGCAGCCGCGGUAAUACGAAGGGGGCUAGCGUUGCUCGGAAUUACUGGGCGUAAAGGGCGCGUAGGCGGACAUUUAAGUCAGGGGUGAAAUCCCAGAGCUCAACUCUGGAACUGCCUUUGAUACUGGGUGUCUUGAGUGUGAGAGAGGUAUGUGGAACUCCGAGUGUAGAGGUGAAAUUCGUAGAUAUUCGGAAGAACACCAGUGGCGAAGGCGACAUACUGGCUCAUUACUGACGCUGAGGCGCGAAAGCGUGGGGAGCAAACAGGAUUAGAUACCCUGGUAGUCCACGCCGU